CUGGACAUGGAUGGGAAAUGGGGUGUUACAGUAACUCCCACUCCACGCUGGUUGCCUGCUCCACUGCCCCCAAGCAUGGGGACAGGAGGAGCAGUGAGGGAGAUAUCCCAAGGGGUGGCCUGUCCCACAUCACACAGACCUGUGGUGAUGCCACAGUGCUGACUUCAGACAGGGAGAAUGCCAGGCAUCGUGACGUGUGUGACCUUCUGAAAAUGGCAGGGAAGCAGCAGAACCAAGGCCCAGCAGCCUCAAAAGGUGAGCUGCAGCAAGAGUCUCAGGAAAAGGCCAGUGUGCCCUCCACAGACCCCCAGCAUGACGGGCUAGAAAGCUCAAUGCCCAGGGGACAUGGAAGGUAUGGGUUUUGGGUGCAGGGUGGGGAUGGGCAAUGGGCAGAAGGGGCCUCCCACAGAACCUCGUGGCUCCCCUAGAGUGCUCUUAAAAAGAAAAAA